UACGUAGGUCCCGAGCGUUGUCCGGAUUUAUUGGGCGUAAAGCGAGCGCAGGUGGUUUAUUAAGUCUGGUGUAAAAGGCAGUGGCUCAACCAUUGUAUGCAUUGAAAACUGGUAGACUUGAGUGCAGGAGAGGAGAGUGGAAUUCCAUGUGUAGCGGUGAAAUGCGUAGAUAUAUGGAGGAACACCGGUGGCGAAAGCGGCUCUCUGGCCUGUAACUGACACUGAGGCUCGAAAGCGUGGGGAGCAAACAGG
rnacentral:rRNA from 1 species